UAGAUUAAAAUCACUUUGAUCAAACCGUUGCUUUUUAUUUAUUGAUGUUUUUGUAGUUAGUUUGGGAUUAUUUCACUAAAACCUAAAAUAUUGAAUAUCUCAGAAACUAACCAUUUUCGGACUAGCAACCUCAAGGCUAAUUUUGUAGGAAAUUAAUUGUAUUAUCACCUUCUUAGAAGAAUACAUCGAGUUACAAGUCACCCUGUAUUAUUUACACAUGUAUAUAACGAAGAAAACAAAACGAUUAUCCUCAUUUGACUUUAUAUAUAUAGCAAAGUGUUACAGAGUUUAUUUAUUAUACUUUAGUCUUUUAUAACACUGAAGAGGUUGUUUGUUUAAACGGGCUAAUCCCCAAAACUACUGGCUCAAUUUCAAUAAUUAUUUUUAUGUCGAAUAGUGCAUUUAUCAAGGAAGAGUAUAGGCUGUAAAACGUCACACUGUAAUAAAUACUAGCUAGUAAUUACAAUGAGACUAUUAUAUAUUUUACUAGGUUUAUAUAUGCUCUUUUGUGUCUCAACAACGAAAGGAGCAAAGCGAUGGCGACUGAAUGGAAUAUUCCAUGGGUUCGGGAAUGCCGGUGUACCAGCAUCAGAAGUAUUGGCAAUAUAUAAUAAUGCUCUUCCAAAACCAAAAACCAGGCUUUGGUCUUAGUAGACAUACAUAAAGCCUUCUCACCACAGCAAAUAAUGGAUAUUUAUUACAAAAACGUAAAUGCAACAGCGAUAAGGAAACUAUGAGAGGAUUCUGGUAAUCCAUAUCAUGUAUAAACAUGACCAGAACCUGUUUUUAUGGAAAUCACUCGCAGGAAUAUAAAUUCGGAGCUACCGUUUUUGCUCGUUAGGUGGCAGUAAUAUAUGCAUAAGAUCUUUUUUGAGGAAGGAAAACCAACAAAUACUCUUCUACUUAAUAUAUCAAAAUUGAAUAUACAAUAGUUGGGCAAUACCUACCUGGGAUAAACAGCCACUACGCUACAUAAGCGCCAUCUACAUGAGCACAUACAAACGGUAGCAACCAUUAA